AGAGGAAGGAGAAGUCGUAACAAGGUUUCCGUAGGUGAACCUGCGGAAGGAUCAUUGUCGAAACCUGCCCAGCAGAACGACCGGCGAACUAGUGAUACACGACUCGGGCGGGGGUGCGAGAGCCGCCCCGCCCGUCGCGCCGCAGGUGUCGGAGGCGUCUCGUGCCCGAGCGCCGGCCCGUCCCCUGUGGUGCAACAACGAACCCCGGCGCGGACUGCGCCAAGGAAACUCUAACGAGAGAGCUCGCCCCCGCCGGCCCGGAGACGGUGCCCGUGUGGGAAGCGACGCCUUCUUUCACAAUCCAAAACGACUCUCGGCAACGGAUAUCUAGGCUCUCGCAUCGAUGAAGAACGUAGCGAAAUGCGAUACUUGGUGUGAAUUGCAGAAUCCCGUGAACCAUCGAGUCUUUGAACGCAAGUUGCGCCCCAGGCCAUUAGGCCGAGGGCACGUCUGCCUGGGUGUCACGCAUCGUUGCCCCCUCCCCCGCGCCCCGAACCCCGGGGAGGCGGCGGGAGGGGGCGGAGAUUGGCCUCCCGCGUGCCGCACGGACCGCGGUUGGCCCAAAUCCGAGUCCUCGGCGACGCGAGCCGCGACCUUCGGUGGUCAUAACGAACCUCGAUGCCCUGUCGUGCUGCUCCGUCUUGUGGGCGGACUCCGUGACCCUGAGCGUGCCGCCAAGCCGCGGCGCUCGCAUCGCGACCCCAGGUCAGGCGGGAUUACCCGCUGAGUU
rnacentral:rRNA from 1 species